UACGAAGGGGGCUAGCGUUGCUCGGAAUUACUGGGCGUAAAGGGCGCGUAGGCGGAUAGUUUAGUCAGAGGUGAAAGCCCAGGGCUCAACCUUGGAACAGCCUUUGAUACUGGCUAUCUUGAGUACGGGAGAGGUGAGUGGAACUCCGAGUGUAGAGGUGAAAUUCGUAGAUAUUCGGAAGAACACCAGUGGCGAAGGCGACUCACUGGCCCGUUACUGACGCUGAGGCUCGAAAGCGUGGGGAGCAAACAGG
rnacentral:rRNA from 1 species